GACGUAGGGCGCAAGCGUUGUCCGGAUUUACUGGGCGUAAAGGGCUCGUAGGCGGCCAACUAAGUCAGACGUGAAAUCCCCAGGCUCAACCUGGGAACUGCGUCUGAUACUGGAUGGCUUGAAUCCGGGAGAGGGAUGCAGAAUUCCAGGUGUAGCGGUGAAAUGCGUAGAUAUCUGGAGGAACACCGGUGGCGAAGGCGGCAUCCUGGACCGGCAUUGACGCUGAGGAGCGAAAGCCAGGGGAGCAAACGGG
rnacentral:rRNA from 1 species